AUACAAGAGGUCAUGUGUGAUUUAGCCACCUUAACCAUUGAGCCAACAGCUAGCCCUGGUUUUGUUUCUUACACAAAAAUUAUCAAACUGCUGAGUUUCUCCUCUCCUUCUCCUACAGAAAGAUGAUUGAAGUUGAAAACUGCUCCAUGGAAUCAACCUAAGUGCUCAGCAAUUGAUGAAUGGCAAGGAGGAGGAGAGAGCGUCUGUUCGGCAGUGACUGAGGAGGCUGGCAAGCCUAUGGGUAUCUGUGUGCUUCAGUACAGAUAUGUUUGGUCAUCAGUCUUUCCAAAUAAAAAGCCGAAGGCCUGCCAGGAACAUGAAGAACAAUAGCAGCCAGAACAAUUUCUACAGCCUGUGGUCAGAGAAUUAUGUGAAAUGGCACCAGUGCUCUUAAACACGAUGGCCAUCCUGUUUUGUUUCUCCAUCUCAAAGUUCAUAUUU